UGAACGCUGGCGGCGGCCUAAACAUGCAAGUCGAGCGGAAACGAAGAGGUGCUUGCACCUCUGGCGUCGAGCGGCGGACGGGUGAGUAAUGCUUGGGAAUAUGCCUUAUGGUGGGGGACAACAGUUGGAAACGACUGCUAAUACCGCAUAAUGUCUACGGACCAAAGUGGGGGACCUUCGGGCCUCACGCCAUAAGAUUAGCCCAAGUGGGAUUAGCUAGUUGGUGAGGUAAUGGCUCACCAAGGCGACGAUCCCUAGCUGGUUUGAGAGGAUGAUCAGCCACACUGGGACUGAGACACGGCCCAGACUCCUACGGGAGGCAGCAGUGGGGAAUAUUGCACAAUGGGCGCAAGCCUGAUGCAGCCAUGCCGCGUGUGUGAAGAAGGCCUUCGGGUUGUAAAGCACUUUCAGUAAGGAGGAAAGGUUAAGUGUUAAUAGCGCUUAGCUGUGACGUUACUUACAGAAGAAGCACCGGCUAACUCCGUGCCAGCAGCCGCGGUAAUACGGAGGGUGCGAGCGUUAAUCGGAAUUACUGGGCGUAAAGCGUACGCA
rnacentral:rRNA from 1 species